GAGUUUGUGAAGCUCUUGGGUUAUUGACUUCUAAUCCGUUUGUCGCAGGUUCGAGUCCUGCCAGGCGCGCCA
rnacentral:tRNA from 1 species